UGUUGUGAAUGGGUAUAGAGUACGUUAUCGGGAUAUUAGAGUUGUAUAAGAGAUGUAGGUGUUGUGAAUGGGUGUAGAGUACGUUAUCAUUGGUAUAUUAGAGUUGUAUAAGAGAUGUUGUAGGUGUUGUGAUUGGGUAUAGAGUACGUUAUCAUCGGUAUAUUAGAGUUGUAUAAGAGAUGUUGUAGGUGUUGUGAAUGGGUGUAGAGUACGUUAUCAUCGGUAUAUUAGAGUUGUAUAAGAGAUGUUGUAGGUGUUGUGAAUGGGUAUAGAGUACGUUAUCGGGAUAUUAGAGUUGUAUAAGAGAUGUUGUAGGUGUUCUGAAUGGGUAUAGAGUACGUUAUCAUCGGUAUAUUAGAGUUGUAUAAGAGAUGUUGUAGGUGUUGUGAAUGGGUAUAGAGUCCGUUAUCAUCGGUAUAUUAGAGUUGUAUAAGAGAUGUUAUAGGUGUUGUGAAUGGGUAUAGAGUACGUUAUCGGGAUAUUAGAGUUGUAUAAGAGAUGUAGGUGUUGUGAAUGGGUAUAGAGUACGUUAUCAUCGGUAUAUUAGAGUUGUAUAAGAGAUGUUGGUGUUUUGAAUGGGGAUAGAGUACGUUAUCAUCAGUAUUUUAGAAUUGUAUAAGAGAUGUUGUAGGUGUUGUGAAUGGGUAUAGAGUACGUUAUCGGGAUAUUAGAGUUGUAUAAGAGAUGUAGGUGUUGUGAAUGGGUAUAGAGUACGUUAUCAUCGGUAUAUUAGAGUUGUAUAAGAGAUGUUGGUGUUUUGAAUGGGGAUAGAGUACGUUAUCAUCGGUAUAUUAGAGUUGUAUAAGAGAUGUUGUCGGUGUUGUGAAUGGGUAUAGAGUACGUUAUCAUCGGUAUAUUAGAGUUGUAUAAGAGAUGUUGUAGGUGUUGUGAAUGGGUAUAGAGUACGUUAUCAUCGGUAUAUUAGAGUUGUAUAAGAGAUGUUGGUGUUUUGAAUGGGGAUAGAGUACGUUAUCAUCGGUAUAUUAGAGUUGUAUAAGAGAUGUUGUAGGUGUUGUGAAUGGGUAUAUAGUACGUUAUCGGGAUAUUAGAGUUGUAUAAGAGAUGUAAGUGUUGUGAAUGGGUAUAGAGUACGUUAUCAUAGGAAUAUUGCAGUUGUGCAAGAGAUGUUGUAGGUUUUUUUGUGAAUGGGUAGAGUACGUUAUCAUCGGUAUAUUAGAGUUGUAUAAGAGAUGUUGUAGGUGUUGUGAAUGGGUAUAGAGUACGUUAUCAUCGGAAUAUUAGAGUUGUAUAAGAGAUGUUUUAGGUGUUUUGAAUGGGUGUAGAGUACGUUAUCAUCGGUAUAUUAGAGUUGUAUAAGAGAUGUUGUAGGUGUUGUGAAUGGGUAUAGAGUACGUUAUCAUCGGUAUAUUAGAGUUGUAUAAGAGAUGUUGGUGUUUUGAAUGGGGAUAGAGUACGUUAUCAUCGGUAUAUUAGAGUUGUAUAAGAGAUGUUGUAGGUGUUAUGAAUGGGUAUAGAGUACGUUAUCGGGAUAUUAGAGUUGUAUAAGAGAUGUAGGUGUUGUGAAUGGGUAUAGAGUACAUUAUCAUAGGUAU